rnacentral:rRNA from 1 species
CCUGAGAAAUAGCUACCACUUCUACGGAGGGCAGCAGGCGCGCAAAUUGCCCAAUGUCAAAAAAAAACGAUGAGGCAGCGAAAAGAAAUAGAGCCGGCAGUGCCACUGGCAUUGCCGUUUUCAAUGGGGGAUAUUUAAACCCAUCCAAAAUCGAGUAUCAAUUGGAGGACAAGUCUGGUGCCAGCACCCGCGGUAAUUCCAGCUCCAAAAGCGUAUAUUAAUGCUGUUGCUGUUAAAGGGUUCG